rnacentral:tRNA from 4 species
GGAGAGGUGGCUGAGUGGACUAAAGCGUCGGAUUGCUAAUCCGUUGUGCGAAUUUUUCGCACCGGGGGUUCGAAUCCCCCUCUCUCCG